GACAGAGGGUGCGAACGUUGCUCGGAAUUACUGGGCGUAAAGCGUGUGUAGGCGGCCACGCAAGUCGGAUGUGAAAGCCCUGGACUCAACCCAGGAAGUGCACCCGAUACUGCGACGGCUUGAGUACCGGAGAGGUUGGUGGAAUUCUCGGUGUAGAGGUGAAAUUCGUAGAUAUCGAGAGGAACACCGGUGGCGAAGGCGGCCAACUGGACGAGUACUGACGCUGAGACACGAAAACGUGGGGAGCAAACAGG
rnacentral:rRNA from 1 species